UACGGAGGAUGCAAGCGUUAUCCGGAAUGAUUGGGCGUAAAGCGUCCGCAGGUGGCAAUGUAAGUCUGCUGUCAAAGCGUCUGGCUCAACCAGAUAAAGGCAGUGGAAACUACAUAGCUAGAGUAAGGUAGGGGUAGAGGGAAUUCCGGGUGUAGCGGUGGAAUGCGUAGAGAUCCGGAAGAACACCGGUGGCGAAGGCGGUCGACUGGGCCAGAACUGACGCUGAGGCGCGACAGCGUGGGGAGCAAACAGG
rnacentral:rRNA from 1 species